GUGUCAGCAGCCGCGGUAAUACGGAGGGUGCAAGCGUUAUCCGGAUUCACUGGGUUUAAAGGGUGCGUAGGCGGGCAGGUAAGUCCGUGGUGAAAUCUCCGAGCUUAACUCGGAAACUGCCAUGGAUACUAUUUGUCUUGAAUACUGUGAAGGUGAGCGGAAUAUGUCAUGUAGCGGUGAAAUGCUUAGAUAUGACAUAGAACACCAAUUGCGAAGGCAGCUCACUGCGCAGUGAUUGACGCUGAGGCACGAAAGCGUGGGGAUCAAACAGGAUUAGAUACCCGUGUAGUCC
rnacentral:rRNA from 1 species